CUACGGGCGGCUCCAGUGGGGAAUAUUGGACAAUGGACCAAAAGUCUGAUCCAGCAAUUCUGUGUGCACGAUGAAGGUUUUCGGAUCGUAAAGUGCUUUCAACAGGGAAGAAGUUCUGACGGUACCUGUAGAAGAAGUGACGGCUAAAUACGUGCCAGCAGCCGCGGUAAUACGUAUGUCACAAGCGUUAUCCGGAAUUAUUGGGCAUAAAGGGCAUCUAGGCGGCUUGGUAAGUCUGAUGUGAAAAUGCGGGGCUCAACCCCGUAUUGCGUUGGAUACUGCUAGGCUAGAGUAUUGGAGAGGUAGGCGGAACUACAUGUGUAGAGGUGAAAUUCGUAGAUAUAUGUAGGAAUGCCGAUGACGAAGGUAGCUUACUGGACAAUUACUGACGCUGAAGUGCGAAAGCUAGGGGAGCAAACAGGAUUAGAUACCCGUGUAAGUC
rnacentral:rRNA from 1 species